UCACUCUAAGGCCGGACUGCCGGUAAUAAACCGGAGGAAGGUGGGGAUGACGUCAAAUCAUCAUGCCCCUUAUGACCUGGGCUACACACGUGCUACAAUGGCUGGUACAACGAGUCGCAAGCCGGUGACGGCAAGCUAAUCUCUGAAAGCCAGUCUCAGUUCGGAUUGUAGGCUGCAACUCGCCUACAUGAAGUCGGAAUCGCUAGUAAUCGCGGAUCAGCACGCCGCGGUGAAUACGUUCCCGGGCCUUGUACACACCGCCCGUCACACCACGAGAGUUUGUAACACCCGAAGUCGGUGAGGUAACCGUAAGGAGCCAGCCGCCUAAGGUGGGAUAGAUGAUUGGGGUGAAGUCGUAACAGGGNUAACCGUAAAA
rnacentral:rRNA from 1 species